GGCACAUGGAAUGCUCUAAGUGCAAUGGUGGUUUGAUAGGGAUGCCAAGCCCUGCUCAAACCUGCGGAAAAUGAGGACGGAGCCUUUCUGAGCAACAAGAGAAACUGUCCAGACACCACCCAGAUUUCAGCCUAGGCUGACAAGCCUGCAUACAAGGCUGAGGAUGGAUGACAAGCAUACAGGGUGGUUGGGGAGGGCAAUGCCCUCUCAGAUUGCUUGUUCCUGACGCACCACUGGAUUCAUCUCAGAACUCGGUCAUCUUCUCAGAACUCACGUCUCUGGCAGGAGCCAAUCUUUGCCCAAAGACCACUGACAGCAAUGCUUUCUGCCAAGCCCCCCACCCUCACUAACACACACACAGGGACGAGCUUCCAUGCUGGUUCCCAAGGCCAAUGUCACCCUCUGGUUUGGCCAGGAGAAAGGGCACCAUGUUGUCACCGAUGCGAGUCUGGUCAAAAGUACCUGCCUUUGGUGUGAGAGCAUAAAGAGGGGCUGGUAGCUCUGUUCUCAGAUGGAGACAUGAGAACAGAGGAGAGCAAGCGCUGGAGAGUGGAACGGAUGCUCCCACUGGAGCUGAUGGUGGCCUUCCUGGGAAGGAGAAGAGGCUGCAACGGGAAGGGCAGGGGGACAUCAGACAGACCACGUGCCAGCCAGGCUUUUCUGCAAGUUGAUCUCGGCACUCUCCCACUCCCUUGAGUCCAGGAGGGCUCUUGAUGGCUUUGACAAGUCGACCGUGGUGGAGAUGGCACCAGGCCAGUUUGGCUUCCUGCCUUUGGCUCACUGGCUCUCAGGACACUCUCUCUGGGAUCUCAGCUACCCUGCUGUGAGAAGCCCAAGCCACAUGGAGAGGCCAAGUGUAGGAACUCCAUUAGGGUUGACACCUCCACUGAGCUCCCAGCUGAUGGCAGCACCAUCGGCCAUCUGAUGCCAGCCUUAGAAAUGACUAAGCCGUGUUAGACAUCCCACCCAGCUGAGGCCUCAAACAACGUUAGCCCCAAGCACCAGCUGAGUGCAAUCACAUGUGGGACUAUAGCAGGAAACCAGCCAGCUGAGUCUGGUCAACCCACAGA
ensembl:lncRNA